AUGUUCUUGGCUGCUCUAGUUUCCAGUGAGCUCUAUUCUUAUGGACAGUCCCUGACUUCCUCUGAUUCUGUGAUGAAGAGACCUGGACAGUCGGUCACUCUGUCCUGUACUGUCUCCGGAUUCUCAAUGGGCAGCUACUAUAUGCACUGGAUCCGUCAGAAACCAGGACAAGGACUGGAGUGGAUCGGGCGCAUUGACACUGGCACUGGCACUGCAUUCGCUCAGUCUCUACAAGGCCAGUUCUCCAUCAAUAAAGACACCAAUAAAAACUUGCUGUAUCUACAAGUGAAGAGUCUGAAAGCUGAAGACACGGCAGUUUAUUACUGUGCACGAGAGUCACACUGA